GAAUCGUAACCGCAACGGAGAAGGGCCGCUCGAAGGUUGUGGUUUGGUGAUUGGGGUG
rnacentral:rRNA from 1 species